CUCAGCAUUCCCCACCCGAGCCAGCCAGCGGCGCUCCCAAAUCCCAAAUCUGGCUGGCUCCAGCCAGCGGUGCCCCCAAAUCCUAGAUCUGGCCGCCGCUAGCCAGCGGCAUCUCAAAUCCCUCGUCGUCCGUACGCUGAUGCGCACCAAAUCCGUCGCCAACCUCCUACGCCCCAAAUCCCUCGCCGCCGGAUGCGCCUCCUCCAACCUCUCGCCCGCCCCAUUCGCUAUAUUCGCUGGGUUGCCGAACAAGGAAUGGCCGCCUUCGGAAUAUCGCCGUCAACUUCGCCUCCACCUCCAGAGGGUUGUCGUCAAAGUGCCCGCCGAUGUCGUCAGUCGAUUGCGCGCCAUCGAAUCCUUGUUCGAGUGCCACCCCUUUCCAUCCAUGUACCACCCUUCCAGAUCCAUUUUUUUUGUAUUCCCUUCUUUAGGAUUUGUUUCCUUUUCCUGAUAAAAUUCAUAUGUGAGUACCCCAACUGGAAUCACCAGAAAAAUAACGAGAAUUGUCUCCUUCCUCAUUUGUUGGGUACUGGUAGAAGAAAAUGGCUUUAUACAGACAUUGGUUUUGAAUAGGCAAGGUUGCAGGACUCCUAAAAAAUCACUUCUUCAGAGGAGGGAAACAGAGUCCAACUGUUAAUUGUAAAGGAAGAAUUGAAAAAACUUCACAGGUUAUCACUCAAUGUCAAGAAAUUGAAUAAUAUUCGUCCCAAUGAAGUGGUGCUAUUCCCUUUAAUAUUUUGUUGUUGUAUGCACAUCAACCUAUAAAUUAAAUAUUGGUCAACAUGUAUUUGAGGUCUGGGUUUUCUAGUUUGCAAUUCAUCUUGAGUAGGAGCAAAAUUCAAGAUCUGGGAUCUACGAGAGAUGCAAGAGCCUUUGUUCUAAUCAAGGGACAAUUGAUCUGUUGCAUGGAAGGAAGAUGGUCAGCACAACAAGGAGGUUGCAGCAAGAAGUUAAGGGUAACCUGGAAGAGAAGCUUGCAACUUAAGCUGUAACAAAACAUUAUGAAAAGAGGUCUCACGCUGUGAAUGUUUAGUUGAUGCACUAGUGUUUUUAGAUGUUGCGCCUCUGUUUUCAUUUUCCUUUGAUUCAUUUAUGCAACUUCGAUGGAAUUGUAUCCGAAUUAUGUGAAUUUGUAACUCUAUGGUUGAUGGAAGCUAUUGAUAGUGAUGUUUCUCUAUUCUAAA